rnacentral:lncRNA from 1 species
CCCGUCCGCACCGCGGCCCGCUCACCUGCACCUGUUUGCGGAAGUGGCGCGGCCCCGGCAUAACCGACGACCAGGCGCAAAAGCACCAGCAGCAGCAAUGCAGGUGGCCCCGGCAUCUCGUCCACGGUGCAGCCCCUCUGGGCGGUUCUCGGGUCGUCUUCCGUGGGUCCGUCCGUCUGCCAGUCGGUCCUGCCUCAGCGGCACCCGCGCCGGCUGCCCCUAAGCACGCGUUGCUUCGGCCCAAAUUCAACUCGGCUCCUGGUCCGCACCCGCCGCUCCGGCUGCAGAAGCAUCAUCCUUUCCGCCUGCCUGCGCCGCCGCUGCCGCAGCCUCUCAACAGCAGCAACAGCAGUGACCCUGCGGAGCCGCGGGCCCCGGCAGCUGCGCUCCCGACGCCAUAAUGGGCUGCGUCAUGUGACGUAGCGCGGGGGCGGAACUCCGUGAUGGACAGAUGGGCAGCCAAUCGUCAAUCCGGACCGGUCCCGGAGGCCCAGCCCAUCUUUCUGGAGGAGGACAGGGGAGCGCCGGGGCGCCCCCUGCAGACAGAGGAGUGCGUGGGCAGCAGAUGAGAAUACAGAAACAGAGACGUUAAGUACCUUGACCCAGGUCACACCACUAGGAAGUGGCAGAAAUAGGAUCCAAAUUCAGGCAGCCUGGCUCCAGAGUUCUUGUUUUUUGGAGUAUAUGUAUACCCAGAUGUGGGGUUGCUGAACAAGCAGAUUUCAAUGGAAACAGAAACUAGGCCACUUCAAAGUCCCCUGGCUCCUGAUUCUUCUUGUUGCCUCUGGGGCAACUCCCGGGAGAUUUACAAAACAGCAGCAGCAAACCGAGACCAUCAGUCUGAGUUGGAAGGGUCUUCAGAAGCCAUCAAGUCCUCAGCCCCCACUUAUGGAUGAAGAAUUUGUACUGAAUCCAGUCAUGCCACAAGCCAGUUCCUUCAUCCUGGUCAUGAAGCCUGGGCCUGGGGCACAGCUACUUCACUUAUCCUCUUGGAGACAAAG